UGGUCAACACCCUCCUCUGCUCUCCGAUCAGUCUAUAUGUGAAGGGAGUUCCGUAUGGUUACAGACUCGGCUGGUGGAAGAAGUCAAACGCAAGGUAGUACAAUGGAUUGGUGUCAGUCCGAGCGAUGGAAAGGGCAGGAAGCAGAAGAGAGCGGAACCCAAAGAGAACUUCAACGAGGUGACGCCGGAGCAGCUGGUGUUGCUAUUGGAGCUCCUUCUGACGGAGGCGGAGCUAAGUGUGACGUCAUUGCAUAUGAUACAG